rnacentral:tRNA from 1 species
UGGGUUAUAGCUCAGUGGUAGAGCACAUGCUUAGAAUGCACAAGGUCCUGGGUUCAAUCCCCAGUACCUCCU